GCCCGUUUGGUGUAGUUUGGUCUAUCAUACUAGCUUGUCAAGCUAGUGACUCGUGUUCAAAUCACGGAACGGGCG
rnacentral:tRNA from 3 species